rnacentral:rRNA from 1 species
UCAGGCCUAACACAUGCAAGUCGAACGGGGUUGUUGGCUUCGGCCUUCAACCUAGUGGCGCACGGGUGAGUAACGCGUGGGAACCUGCCUAGAGGUACGGAACAACCGCUGGAAACGGCGGCUAAUACCGUAUGUGCCCUGAGGGGUAAAGAUUUAUCGCCUUUGGAGGGGCCCGCGUCCGAUUAGCUUGUUGGUGAGGUAACGGCUCACCAAGGCUUCGAUCGGUAGCUGGUCUGAGAGGAUGAUCAGCCACACUGGGACUGAGACACGGCCCAGACUCCUACGGGAGGCAGCAGUGGGGAAUAUUGGACAAUGGGCGCAAGCCUGAUCCAGCAAUGCCGCGUGUGUGAAGAAGGCCUUAGGGUUGUAAAGCACUUUCACCCGGGAAGAUGAUGACGGUACCGGGAGAAGAAGCCCCGGCUAACUCCGUGCCAGCAGCCGCGGUAAUACGGAGGGGGCUAGCGUUGUUCGGAAUUACUGGGCGUAAAGGGCGUGUAGGCGGCGGCUCAAGUUGGGCGUGAAAUCCCGGGGCUCAACCUCGGAAUUGCGCUCGAUACUGGGUUGCUCGAGUACGGGAGAGGGUAGUGGAAUUCCCAGUGUAGAGGUGAAAUUCGUAGAUAUUGGGAAGAACACCGGUGGCGAAGGCGGCUACCUGGCCCGUUACUGACGCUGAGGCGCGAAAGCGUGGGGAGCAAACAGG